UUCAUCGGAUGAUCGACGGAAGUUCGCCGGAAACUCGCCGGAAGAAGCGAGUGACGUACCGAAGCAAGCUGCAGAAUAUGUCUUAGGAAAUAAUCGUAGUUAGCACUUUGAUUAAGUUAGAAAUGGGAGGUGAUCCCAUUAGCUUAAUCCUGGGGCAAUUGGGCCCCUGAAGAACUCAAAUUGGGUCGAAUGGUUCAGCCCAUUCGGACCAAGGUUGCUGUGGGAGGUGCAACCGCCUGAUCCCGGAAUUCCGGGAUUUGAUCGUUUUGAGCUCCAAAUUUGAACUGGGUUGGGGCCUAUAAAUACCCCACCCAUUCAGCACUGAAAAGAUACAGAACUACACCGAAUUCUUGAUCUUUUCUGUGAUUCUAAGAGCUCAAAUUUUGUGUUUAAGUCCAAAAGUUCUCCUC